UAAUUUCUUUGAUCUUAGAUAAACUUCUUAUUUUAUUUACACUUAUUUCCCAGGAGAUGAAUUAUCAUAAAAACUAAUUAGAAUCAGUUUGUUUUGCCUGCACUUGUCUACUUUAAUUACCCUUAGGAACACAAAUGCAGCUUUCUUCCGAUUAAAGUGCACAAAACAAAAUUUGCUCAGUUGAUAAAAACUGGAACACUAUAAAAAAAAAUAGUUUGUAAAUUAUAGUAGGACCUGAGGUUGCUAAUGCACUUUUAUUUUAUUUACAUUAAAAUGGCAGAGAAUGAUUAUAAUAAAUAAACUAUGGAUAACACAUUAAUCUCCUGUUUCUGAAAUGCAUUGAAAACAAAAAAGAAAUGGACAGCCAG
rnacentral:lncRNA from 1 species